UACGUAGGGGGCAAGCGUUGUCCGGAAUCAUUGGGCGUAAAGAGCGUGUAGGCGGCUCGGUAAGUCCGCUGUGAAAGUCCAGGGCUCAACCCUGGAAUGCCGGUGGAAACUGUCGGGCUAGAGUCCGGAAGAGGCGAGUGGAAUUCCUGGUGUAGCGGUGAAAUGCGCAGAUAUCAGGAGGAACACCAAUGGCGAAGGCAGCUCGCUGGGACGGUACUGACGCUGAGGCGCGAAAGCGUGGGGAGCAAACAGG
rnacentral:rRNA from 1 species